rnacentral:rRNA from 1 species
UACAGAGGGUGCGAGCGUUGUUCGGAAUUAUUGGGCGUAAAGGGCGCGUAGGCGGUGCGGUAAGUCACCUGUGAAAUCUCCUGGCUCAACUGGGGAGGGUCAGCGGUAACGGCCGUGCUUUGAGUGCAGGAGAGGGAAGUGGAACUCCGGGAGUAGCGGUGAAAUGCGUAGAGACCCGGAGGAACACCAGUGGCGAAGGCGGCUUCCUGGUCUGCGACUGACGCUGUGGCGCGAAAGCUAGGGGAGCAAACGGG